GAUGAAGAACGCAGCGAAAUGCGAUAAGUAGUGUGAAUUGCAGAAUUCAGUGAAUCAUCGAAUCUUUGAACGCACCUUGCGCCCUUUGGCUAUUCCGAAGGGCAUGCCUGUUUGAGUAUCAUGAACACCUCAACUCUCAUGGUUUUUCCAUGAUGGGCUUGGACUUUGGGGGUCUUGCCGGCCUAUGGUCAGCUCCUCUUAAACGAAUCAGCUUGCCAGUGUUUGGUGUGGCAUCACAGGUGUGAUAACUAUCUACGCUUGUGGUUUUCCAUCAAGUAACCUUCAGUGAUGGAGGUUCGCUGGGGCUCAUAAAGGCCUCUCCUCGGUGAGGAUGGCUCCUUUGAACGUUUGAUCUCAAAUCAGGUAGGACUACCCGCUGAACUUAAGCAUAUCAAUAAGCGGAGGA
rnacentral:misc_RNA from 1 species